GAUACCAGCUUGCUGGUAGGCGUCGAGCGGCGGACGGGUGAGUAACACUUAGGAAUCUACCUAGUAGUGGGGGAUAGCUCGGGGAAACUCGAAUUAAUACCGCAUACGACCUACGGGAGAAAGGGGGCAACUUGUUGCUCUCGCUAUUAGAUGAGCCUAAGUCGGAUUAGCUAGUUGGUGGGGUAAAGGCCUACCAAGGCGACGAUCUGUAGCUGGUCUGAGAGGAUGAUCAGCCACACCGGGACUGAGACACGGCCCGGACUCCUACGGGAGGCAGCAGUGGGGAAUAUUGGACAAUGGGGGCAACCCUGAUCCAGCCAUGCCGCGUGUGUGAAGAAGGCCUUUUGGUUGUAAAGCACUUUAAGCAGUGAAGAAGACCUAACGGUUAAUACCCGUUAGCGAUGACAUUAGCUGCAGAAUAAGCACCGGCUAACUCUGUGCCAGCAGCCGCGGUAAUACAGAGGGUGCAAGCGUUAAUCGGAAUUACUGGGCGUAAAGCGAGCGUAGGUGGCUUGAUAAGUC
rnacentral:rRNA from 1 species